AGAAACUUAGGAUAGCACCAGACCAAGGGCCUUCAAAGCCCUAAGCAGGAGUGAAAAUCUCCUAGUUUCUG
rnacentral:tRNA from 1 species